AGAGUUUGAUCAUGGCUCAGAUUGAACGCUGGCGGCAGGCCUAACACAUGCAAGUCGAGCGGUAGCACAGAGAGCUUGCUCUCGGGUGACGAGCGGCGGACGGGUGAGUAAUGUCUGGGAAACUGCCUGAUGGAGGGGGAUAACUACUGGAAACGGUAGCUAAUACCGCAUAACGUCGCAAGACCAAAGUGGGGGACCUUCGGGCCUCAUGCCAUCAGAUGUGCCCAGAUGGGAUUAGCUAGUAGGUGGGGUAAUGGCUCACCUAGGCGACGAUCCCUAGCUGGUCUGAGAGGAUGACCAGCCACACUGGAACUGAGACACGGUCCAGACUCCUACGGGAGGCAGCAGUGGGGAAUAUUGCACAAUGGGCGCAAGCCUGAUGCAGCCAUGCCGCGUGUGUGAAGAAGGCCUUCGGGUUGUAAAGCACUUUCAGCGGGGAGGAAGGCGAUAAGGUUAAUAACCUUGUCGAUUGACGUUACCCGCAGAAGAAGCACCGGCUAACUCCGUGCCAGCAGCCGCGGUAAUACGGAGGGUGCAAGCGUUAAUCGGAAUUACUGGGCGUAAAGCGCACGCAGGCGGUCUGUCAAGUCGGAUGUGAAAUCCCCGGGCUCAACCUGGGAACUGCAUUCGAAACUGGCAGGCUAGAGUCUUGUAGAGGGGGGUAGAAUUCCAGGUGUAGCGGUGAAAUGCGUAGAGAUCUGGAGGAAUACCGGUGGCGAAGGCGGCCCCCUGGACAAAGACUGACGCUCAGGUGCGAAAGCGUGGGGAGCAAACAGGAUUAGAUACCCUGGUAGUCCACGCCGUAAACGAUGUCGAUUUGGAGGUUGUGCCCUUGAGGCGUGGCUUCCGGAGCUAACGCGUUAAAUCGACCGCCUGGGGAGUACGGCCGCAAGGUUAAAACUCAAAUGAAUUGACGGGGGCCCGCACAAGCGGUGGAGCAUGUGGUUUAAUUCGAUGCAACGCGAAGAACCUUACCUGGUCUUGACAUCCACAGAACUUUCCAGAGAUGGAUUGGUGCCUUCGGGAACUGUGAGACAGGUGCUGCAUGGCUGUCGUCAGCUCGUGUUGUGAAAUGUUGGGUUAAGUCCCGCAACGAGCGCAACCCUUAUCCUUUGUUGCCAGCGGUUAGGCCGGGAACUCAAAGGAGACUGCCAGUGAUAAACUGGAGGAAGGUGGGGAUGACGUCAAGUCAUCAUGGCCCUUACGACCAGGGCUACACACGUGCUACAAUGGCAUAUACAAAGAGAAGCGACCUCGCGAGAGCAAGCGGACCUCAUAAAGUAUGUCGUAGUCCGGAUUGGAGUCUGCAACUCGACUCCAUGAAGUCGGAAUCGCUAGUAAUCGUAGAUCAGAAUGCUACGGUGAAUACGUUCCCGGGCCUUGUACACACCGCCCGUCACACCAUGGAGUGGGUUGCAAAAGAAGUAGGUAGCUUAACCUUCGGGAGGGCGCUUACCACUUUGUGAUUCAUGACUGGGGUGAAGUCGUAACAAGGUAACCGUAGGGGAACCUGCGGUUGGAUCACCU
rnacentral:rRNA from 1 species